UGAGAGGAAUUCAUUCUGACUUCAUUAGUUUGAAGACAGACGGACCUGGAGAAAGGAAUACAAGCAGCUCCAUGGGGAAGGCAGAUCCCCAAUGACAGCAGAUUUCUACUGUAAAAAAAAAGUGUGUUUAAUACAGAGAGUAAUAAAGAAAGUAAUGGUCACCAAGAAAGAAAGAUAAGAAUCUUGAGUACUACGGACUAAGAUAAAAUUCUAAAGAAUAGCUGCUGAAUUCCUCAUGCAUCUGCUAUGAUUCUACAGGCCUAUAAAGUGAACCCAUGGUCCAUUUCUGCAAGGGUAUCUGUGAGUUAUGAGAUUUGGGGUCCACCCAAGGAAUUCUAGCUGAUCUCAUCUCACAAUUAAGUUAAUUAUAUCUGAAAAGUCUCCACCCCCCCCAAAUAAGGUCACAUUCAGAGUUACCAAUAGUGCUUGGACUGGUGCACUAUGGCAAAGAGAAUGAAACACUGGUUAUCAAUCACCACAUGAGGGAGGAACACAGCCAUUCCUGGGAAGGCGUGGAGAAAGAAGACAAUGGAAGAAAAGCACAAGACCCAGGCUCCUGUAACCUGUCUAAGGAAACGAGGGAGAGCUCACAGAGUAGGAGAAAGUAUUUGCAAAGCAUUGAUCUGGUAAAGGGAACAAGCAACUUGGAUUUGUAGAAGUCAAAUUCACUUCCCAGAAUUAGAGACCUAGUAAACUGCUUAGAAAGAACUUGAACUUGGGGAGCUCUAGUCCCAAAGACAUUGAUUUUGAAGCACUACCACACACUGUGAGCUCCUUGCCCCAUUGCUGCAUAUGGACAUUGAAUGGAAGCAAGGUUCCUGGAGAAGUCUGGGAGAUGGGAAGGUGUGGUGUGGACUCUCAGUCAGACCAUGUGUUCCAGGCCAUGGCCAAUCAGAGACCUAAUCACUGGAUACCAGAAAAUAGCCUCUGCUAUUAAAGAAAAUCUCCAAGAUUUUGUCUAAAGAAAUUUCAGAAGGCUGUAAAUAUCAAAUGAGAAUUCAGUCAAUGGAU